CCCAAGUUUUUUUUUCUUCAAAGAAAUAAUAAUUUUUAAUAAUUUUACGAGUCCAACAUUUAAUAAAAAAUGAAUUCAUUUGGCAUUUACCUCGAGAGGACAUUGCUCCAAAAAUAUCGCGAAGAUAUUUUACAAUACAUACUCUAAUGAUAAAAAUGGGGAUAAAGAUGUAAUAUACUAUAUAUAUUUUGUCUCAAAUUUUCGCUUAAUUAAAUUUUUCGUAAUAAAAAGCUUGAUAAUUCGGACUGUAUUCCCAAAGAGUAUGAAGGGAAUGCAUGUUCUGUAACGCGUAAGCCGCAGCGCUCAAGGAAAUCCCGAGAAAGUCGCCGCGAAGCGAAUUUGAUCUCAGCUCGAACUGGAAGCUCCCCGAUUUAUCACAGCGCGAGUGUUUCAACGGUGAAGAAUACAACUUUAUCGGGCAUCUUCUAUACGACUAGAGCGUCCUUUGCGAUCACAUCCUUGUGCAUAGGUAUAUAUGUAUAUAAACUGAGUAUGUACGCGCGUUUACAUCGCUAUAUCGAUUUGGAUGCUGUAUGUGUAGUUGUAUUAUAUUAUACAAUCGGAGCACGCUUCAUGAUAUGGAACACGAUGACGGGAUUUACGAUUGUCCGUACGUUUAUUGAUUGUACCCAAUAGAACUACAUGACGAUAAUUUUUCUCGCUCGUCAUCGGAACGAACUGUGCGUGACGCCUCGUGACACGAGGACGCGAGAUCUCGUUUAUGCCAUUUUCCGUUUCUUUUUCGUUCGAUAACGGAGGAAAAUUGACGACGUCAUUCUGAGAGCCAGACGGAUCAAAUGAAAAAAAUAUCGAAAUUCUCGUGAGUCUCCGAACUGGUUAACUCUAGGAGGCUAGAUAGAUAAUAAAUUUCUUGAAUACUUUAAAUAAAAUCGCCGAGGAACAUGCGAACGUGCUAGAAUUAGUCAAAGAAAAAUUCGAUCCAGAUGCGUGCAAUUGUCUCGUGUCGCCGACCGGAGAGAAAGCGAAAUAUAUGCGUCGAACGAUCGCGAAGAUCGUCGCGCUGGCCAAUGAUGAGGAACAAUAUCGUGCAUAGCUUCCCGUUUGUGAUCACCAAUGGAAUCUUCAGCAACGACUAGCCGAGCCUUUUUCAGGGUCGCGUAGCUGAUGUAGUUUUAUAUCUCGAUUUGUAUCGCGUUUGCAUGACUUACAUGUGAAAGUUAACGACUCUUCGGACUCUACAAAGCAUCUGUAUCGUCGAAUUUUUAUAUACGAAACCGGUAGCCGCUCGAGAAAGCCCGUUCGUGCGAUAUUCAACCCGUAGAAAGUAUUUUAUAAGAUCACAAAUUUUGAUACACAGAAAUAUUUCGCCGUAGUUAUACGCGAGUAUAUGGAUAGGAAACUGCAGGGCUCAGCAUUACGAGUGUAGUUUUUCGACCAAUUUUUCGAGCCGACAAACUAUUUCCAAUUUUUCAUUUUUUUUUUCGACAUUUCCGAGAAGAUCAUAUCCACAAUAAUCUCUCCAUCUUUCUAAAAUCUAUACUGCGUGUAUGCGGGAUACUGUAAGUGAUUUGUCGACCUGCCUGCGGUCGACAGAUCACUUUUGAUUUGUCAACGUUUUUAAAUUCCUAAAAAAGAGUAUUCACGCCGUGCCUGCGCGCGAGAAUUUUUUCAAUUUAAAAAAAAAACCUGCCGUGUACGACUGUGGAUUUUCCAGUUUUAUAAAGAUCGCGUCGUUUUUUAAUGCGCAAUCAUGCAAUUUUUACGAUUUUCACGCCGUGCCUGUGCGCGAAAAUUUUCUCAAUUUUCAAGGAGAUCCGCACGAUCUCGUAUCCGGACGUGCUCCCUCGAGCGAGCGCCGUAUAAGCGAGCACGAAUCUGCGUGCUGUAACACAAUCGAAUUACUUAAUAAUAAUAGCUAAAGACUAACUUAAAGUGGAACCGUUGAUGUCGAUUUAACUAUAUCUCCGCCUUACGCGCGGUUUAAUCAAACUGAACCAAUAAUAUAAAUGCAUUUUUGAGACUAAUAUAUCGACUUUACAGAGACUAAUGACCUUUUUCAUACGAAUUUCUAAAAUAUAUUUUCCGCGAGUAUGAGUAUCAGUGGCCUCUGCACUUGGAACGCGACUCGCGAAAUCUUAUUUUUCAAAUAAUUUCGUUUCGAAAAGAUUUCAACAAUCUCUACAUUUUAUAUUAAUUAAUUUUUUAUUUCGUUUUUAUUUUUAGAUCUAAUUUUAUUUCUAUCGUGAUUUGAGAUGGACUUCUAUAUUUAUUAGCGAUUUAUUAAUCACUCUAACAUAAUUUUCUUUUCUAUUCUGAAGAAAUUUUGUAAUUUUUUUCACAUUAAAAUAAGUUCUCACAAAUUCACCGCGCGUUCACGUCGCCGACUUAUUCCAAGUGAACUGGAAAGAGGGACUGGUACGGGACUCGUUGGGAAUGCUGGCGCGUGCCGAGAUGAAAACUUCUUUUGUAUCCGUACUCCUUAAGAAACUUUCGCCAAGCUGAACACUCCAGGCAAUCUGUGUAGGUAGCUUUAGUAUUCGAUGUACGCGUGCUGCCCGCUUGACUUUCGUGGGAUGGAUGAGUUAAUCGACCGUCCAUUUCUGAUGAACAAUAAUUUGAUUGAAGCUUUCGCGUUCAGAUUAGUGCGAUUGGCAAUAGGAAUCUAUAGGGAACGAAGUCGAGAAAGCACAGCAAUGUUUAUAAUGGUUAACAGAAUAAUAACAUUUUGAUUAUUGUAUUCGGGGCCGGCUUAAAAGAUUAAUCAAUGAUUAGAUCGAAGUCUACGAAGUUAAAAAUAAGUGGAAGAAAGUCGUUUAUUGCGAAACAGGUUUUUCUUCAUUAUAACAAUUUUUACGAGUAGAUUUAGCGAACGAAAAUACGUUUUUUUUUUGCAUUGAAGAAUCUUUAUAUGAGAAUUGAAGGGAGCUUUUUUUGAGCCGGCUUUUUUUCGAUUGCAUACUCUAAGUUGUUCGUAUAAUGUUCUGUAAAUAUUGUAAUGAAUGAUAUACCACGAGGAAAAAUUAUUGUCGGUGAUGUCGCGCGGCCGAACAAUACGAUACAAACGUGUUUACGUUGUUUGUGAGAAGUAAAGCGAAGGAGAUGAGAGUGAGCCUUCGAAAACUCUUUGGAAGGGAUACGAAUCUUGCUACGACGGAGCUUCACUGCGUUUGAUUUAAUCAAUUGUUUCGGCUAGAGAAGAUCGCUUCGGUCAGUUAUCGCGAGGACGAGAGACCUCGGACGCUGCGUUCGCAUCGCUAUCAGGUCGAUUCGAUGUAGCUUAACAGUUAGACUUUAGGUCGUACUGCAGGUUGUUUCGGAUACACUCUGUGCAGAUGUGUGUUUAAAAAAAAUUGUGACAAUACUGACAUUAUUUCGUGAACGAACCCGACGCCAGUUGUUUAGGUAUAACGCGUACCGAGCGAACAAAGAAAUGCGCAGCAGUUGAAAUAUUAUAGGUAUUAUAUUCAUGUUUUUAUGUAAAUAAAUUUUUGGUAUAUUUCAA